rnacentral:rRNA from 1 species
UACGGAGGGGGCUAGCGUUGUUCGGAAUUACUGGGCGUAAAGCGCACGUAGGCGGCUUUGUAAGUUAGAGGUGAAAGCCCGGGGCUCAACUCCGGAAUUGCCUUUAAGACUGCAUCGCUAGAAUUGUGGAGAGGUAAGUGGAAUUCCGAGUGUAGAGGUGAAAUUCGUAGAUAUUCGGAAGAACACCGGUGGCGAAGGCGGCCUGCUGGGCAGUUGCUGACGCUGAGGCGCGACAGCGUGGGGAGCAAACAGG